rnacentral:rRNA from 1 species
UGUUACAAUGCCUACAACGUUAAUGCACUAGAUCCCAUUCAAACUUCGUAGUUAAGCACACUUGAGAUAGAGUAUUAUUGGGAUGGGUGACCUCUCGGGAAUUCCUAUUGUUUUACAU